rnacentral:rRNA from 1 species
UACGGGGGGGGCAAGCGUUGUUCGGAAUUACUGGGCGUAAAGGGCUCGUAGGCGGCCAACUAAGUCAGACGUGAAAUCCCUCGGCUUAACCGGGGAACUGCGUCUGAUACUGGAUGGCUUGAGUUCGGGAGAGGGAUGCGGAAUUCCAGGUGUAGCGGUGAAAUGCGCAGAUAUCAGGAGGAACACCAAUGGCGAAGGCAGCUCGCUGGAACGGUACUGACGCUGAGGCGCGAAAGCGUGGGGAGCAAACAGG